GGAGAAGGAGAACUAGACAGAAAGAGGCAGACGAGGAAAAAAGACUUUCUUUUUCUUUCUAGAGGAAUUCUGCCCAGACCCAGCAGCAGUUGGUAGCAAGCAAGCUUUCUCCUGGGUGUCUCCUGGAAAAGUUGCAAAAUUGCUCUUCACCUGUAAGAACAUGCUCUUUAUCUUCCAGUCUCUUCUUGUCAAUUUGGAAACUGCAGACAGCCUGGCUCAGAAGAGAAGACUUGGGGUUCAGAGCCGCCCCCCCUCUCCUGCAGUGGAAAUGGACUUCCCUCGGGUCGAGUACAGAACUUCCCACACAGGCGGGUGGGUGAGUGCCCUUGGCGUUGCCCUCAUUGAUCCGGCUGGACACCAGAAACAGAUAAUCUGGUGAGCAGCUGAGGCACAGACUACCUGGGCUCCCACUUAGAGGCUGAUAUAGGACUGAAGAAGCAGCUGCUCUGUCAAACCUAGAGAUCUUGAACCUGAGGGCUGUGGACAUAUUCUUUGUAUCUUCCCUGCAGCUUGGCACCAGGUCAUCUUUGCUUGCUGGGAAAAAGAAUCCUUACGAAGAGAAGUUGCUCCCUGGGGGAAGAAGAAGGCAACGAUUGCCACUCAAGAUGACUCUGUAUCCUGGAAGGAUGGCAGCCCUGGGCCACAGGGGGGCUGCCGAGUUGUUGGGCAGAGAUGGCUUGGGUGACCACAGAAGGGAAGAUCCCUUAAAUGGUGUGACUUUCAUGGCCCUUCCGUAAAGCUUUCGCAAACUGGCCAACGCGGUCAUUCUCUGCCGCGCUCUGAUCCUUUUCAAGUUGUUGAAGUCACUCAGCGGAUUAACAGGGCAUUGCCCUGGCUUUCUCAAAGGCACACGCACAGAACCGUUUAAUGCCAUUUUCAAGGGCACAAGGACAGAGAUCUGAGAGCCUCGCCAAUGAACACAGAAUAAAACCAUCACCACCACCAAACAGGAUAACACCUGAUGGGGGAACGCGUGCCUUCCCAUUGCCUCUGUCCUGCACGCUCUCUGCUGAAACUCCCUGCUUUCCAUUCCCACUUACUGGGUCCCGCACCUCAAACACGGAGGAGGGACUGUGGGAGGCAGAAAUGAAAGUCUUUCUGAAGCUAUGUUCACAUGUAUUCUGUGACUGGAAAUAAGAAACCAACCAAACAACCAAAGAGAAUAAACACCCUCUCCAGAAGCUGAUUCUUCACCAAGCAUAUCACUCCUUGGGCUGGGAUGGGCAGGUUCGACAUUAUGCCCUGGUCAAAGACAAGGGUAUUGGGAUUUGUGCUAAAGAACAGGACGUAAAUCCCGAGGCUUUUGAAGUCUUUAGUGGCUUAAUGUUCAAAACUUUGCUUCCUCAAGAUGAAGGUUCAAACACAAUUUAGGUCAAAGGUUAAAGAAGUCUGCCACUUCAGUGGACAGAUAAGGGUUUUGAAGGUUGCAGCUGAGGCCUGAUGGCUGGGCCAGGCUGGGAAGACAGAGGAUAAAGGAGACCUGACUCCACCCUCCCUUAUCUGCCUCUGGUUUCCUUAAGAACUAAUGUUCAUUAAAUUCCUCUCCUUUAAUAAAGAAGAAAAAUUCACAACAACCAAGAAAGUAAAUCCGAUCUUUGUUCUGGCAAACUAGGUCAGCCUCAUCUCUUCCUGCUGUCAGUUUUCUGCAGCCUGGGCUUCACAGUGAGUCACAGGUAUUUAUGAAACUGUGCUUGAUUAAACUUUGCCUUUUUCCCCAUCUGAGGGCUCCAGCGUCUCUUAGUCAGAGAGAGAUUGAGUUGGUGGGUGUUUCUCUUGGAAGACCCCUCAGUGAAGACAGCAGAUCUGGUACCUUGGCACCAGUUUGAUUUGGAACCGAAGCGUCACACACGUAUACGCUGCAUGCCGAGAUGCCACUGCCACAUAAAAGCAGCUUAUCAGCAUGGAAACUUUAUUUUAUUUUACAACCUGUUUUAAUGGGAUUGGACUCAGUACUGUAAAUUUCACUGAGCCAGCCUUUAAAAGAAGAGAUUCAUUCACAUUUUCCCCAAACUUCUGGUUCUCUCAACAGACCCAUCAAUAUCUCCAUUUAGCACUUCUGUGUUAAUGGAAAGCCAAGAUAAGGAUUUUCUUAUAUAAGCCCUAAGACAACAGGCAUCUUUGGAUGUAGUUCCAAGGUAUCAAAGAAGAGGAAUGCAGGCUAUGGAUGUCAGUGCAAACAGAGAAGGCAAAUCUCCCCUCCACGAGCAGAGGAGGUGGCAUUCAUGAUUUCCUCCACGUGCACAGCCUCAGAAAGGGAGGCCAGGUUGCCCAGGGCCAGGUUUUUGUAAAGGAGGACUUGCUCAUCAGCACAAAAGAUGAUCACAUGUGUGUGGUCCCAUUUCUAGAGCCAGGGAAUGAGAGCUUGAAAUCCUUGGGCCCUGUGAUUACAACUACUCACUGGGCACAAGAGCCUUCAGGAUUCUGCACCUCAUUUUUCAUGACUAUAAGUGAGCACAGCUCAGCCAUCAGGCCGUACAGGAAACUGACCUGAGGGAUCAGGUUUUCAGUCCCCCCACUCCCCACCCUCCACCGCCAACAGGAGCCAGCCUCUCAGAAAUACCUUUCUGCAUACCUUUUCCUGUUCGGAUAGGCAGAAGGCUGGGCCAGGCACAGAGCUGGCAUCCUAGGGUGAGCAGACAUUCUCCAGGUCACACAGCUAUGAUGCCAGGUCCCCACUUCUCUUUGCGUGUGUUCCCAAAACCUACUGAGCUGUGUUAGAAAGAUGCAUUGCCAUUGGUUAGAAGUGCUUCUGUCUUAAAAGAAAAAUUCUCACCUCAAACUACAGAUGAGUCCAUUGGAGAAGUAAAGAAUAGAGACAUGAAGGUGAGCAUUGGGUUUCGUGAUCUGUACCACCUGUUAUUUUCAGCAGCCCACCUCUAGCAGGGCAUCACAAGCAGGGCUUCCCUGGAUCACCUGGCAGGUCCCUAAAUGCAGAUUCACCAGGCCUGGGGUGGCCCUGAGAGUUAGCAUUUCUCGAAAUGCUGGUGACAUGAUAUUGUGGGUCUCUGGGUCAUACUUUGAGUAGCAAGCAGAUAGACCACACUCUGAGUAGCAGAGCAAAGUAUAAUUUGUGGUUCAAAUCCUGGUACCAACAAUUGUCAUCACAAGCACUAGUUACUUAAUCGAACCGAGGUUCAGCUUUUUCUUCUGGAAAAUAGGAUUGUUAUGAGUAUUAACUAAGAUGGUGUCUUGGAGAUCCAGAUGAGAACUGAUGAGGGCCUGGAAGCAGGAAAGAGGAAUAGGAGUAGAAAUAAGGGUAAAUGCUCCUGGAGUUCCUGUCAUGGCUCAGUGGUUAACGAAUCCAACUAGGAACCAUGAUCCCUGGCCUUGCUCAGUGGGUUAAGGAUCUGGCGUUGUCAUGAGCUGUGGUGUAGGUUGCAGAUGCAGCUCGGAUCUCACUGUUGCUGUGGCUCUGGCGUAGGCUGGCAGCUACAGCUCUGAUUAGACCCCUAGGCUGGGAACCUCCAUAUGCCACAGGAGCGGCCCUAGAAAAGGCAAAAAGAAAACAAAACNNNAAAAAAAAAAAAAAAAAAAAAAAAA
rnacentral:lncRNA from 1 species